AACAAGGAGGUGCGUGGGGGAGGAGGAGGAGGAGGAGGAGGAAGAGGGUCAACUCAGGGCUCUGCAUUUUGCUGCAAGGGGUCAGCUCCUGUCAGCAGACACAGAAAGGGAGCCAGCGUGCAAACUGAAUGCCUGUGAAAUUUGGGAUGCACAGGACAGACCCCUCAGGAGGAAGCCUGUGGCUCUCGCUUGAGUCAAUAGAAGUGCCAGCCUUGUACCUGCACCCAAAUGUGUGGAAGAAGGGCCCAGGCCAAUAUGUGGAAGGGCAGGCGGUGGUGGGCCGGGAGAGGAAAGGUCUUGUCCAUGUGCCAGAGACCAUGAGUUGCUGAGAGUGAUCAAGAACCAUCCUUUUUAUCUGCCUCUUUCCAGGGAAGGCCAUAGGUGAACAGAGUGAUGGAUGAAAAAGUGAAACCGGCAGGAACAUAAAGCAAUACUGCCUACUACGACUUACUACCAGAGCAUGGCAAUGAAAUCAGGAAGUGGGAGGGUCGGGAACUCACAGGAACAGCAGAGGAGCAGGAUCACGACAGCCUCGAUCUGCUGCUCGGAGAGGAGAUGGGGGCUGAUCUCUACAGACUCUGGCAAUGGAGCUACCAUGUUUUCAGAUUUAAGCCUUGACAUAUGAGCCAGGCUCUGGUGCCUACAAUCUGUGGCUUCCUUGAAGCAAACUGGCAACAGGAGGAUAGCCAGAGAGCCAGGAAGUCAGAACACCAUGGACAGCUGCUGAUGGGAAAAGGGCUUCCAUAUGGAAUACACAUGGCAGGAGAAAGGAGACAAGGUGGAGUCAGCUGGCAAGGUAAGCCCUGCCCUGCCCGCCCUCAUGGUGCUGGUUUGGCCCAUGGGUGGCAGAACCAAGACGCUGUUGGGUGAAGUAUAACACAGCAGGAGAACAGAGCAGGCCAAGGGGUAAAGGGCCCCUUUUUCAGAUGCAAUCCUAACCGCACUUUUGCCCACUCGGGUGAAAGGCACUGGUUCUCACUUUGAAUUCUGGGGAUCAUUUGUCGUUUUGCAAAUGUGCAUCUCAAUUACUGCAAAGCGGUGUCCUCUUUUCAUUCUCCUUUUUAAGGGGAGCACAAGUGGCCAUCCUAGAAUGAUGGUUGGCUUCACAAGGUUGGUGUACCUGUACCGGCAGCGAGGGGGGGGGGAGAGGGAGGGCUUUUUCCCCCACUUCCCUUGGCAGAAUUAGCUCCAGCCCUGAGAGAUAGUUUGGGUUGUGGGGAAGGAACACUUGGGUGGAGGGUUGUGGGGCUUUCUCUUCUUUGCAAGGCAAAUAAGCCCCAGCCCCCUCCCAAUGAAGCUCUCCUGGGGCAAUUCAGAGAGUAUCAGAGCAACACAGACUGUGUUGCACUGCCCCCCCGCCCCCCUCCAGCCAGCUCUCUCUCUUUUUUGGCAGCGUUUGCCACAUCCAGUCUGUUUAGCAUCAGCUUAGCCCCAUCGCGGCAGGCUGGGACCUCCGCAUUCGAGGCUAUUUUUGCAUUCAGUUCAGUUUUUAUCAUUUUAAGGUUCACGCGUUUCUAAUUGUUAUGAAUACCAUGGUAAAAUUAAUAGUUCUAUGGUUGGUUUAUUACAUUUAGUAAAAUUAUGGGCAUGUAAUGUUUGCCAAGAAAAGACACUGCA
ensembl:lncRNA